CCUACGGGAGGCUGCAGUGGGGAAUAUUGGACAAUGGGGGCAACCCUGAUCCAGCCAUGCCGCGUGUGUGAAGAAGGCCCUCGGGUUGUAAAGCACUGUCAGUGAGGAAGAACGCCUGGUGGUUAAUACCCAUCAGGAAAGACAUCACUCACAGAAGAAGCACCGGCUAACUCCGUGCCAGCAGCCGCGGUAAUACGGAGGGUGCGAGCGUUAAUCGGAAUUACUGGGCGUAAAGCGCGCGUAGGUGGCUUGAUAAGCCGGUUGUGAAAGCCCCGGGCUCAACCUGGGAACGGCAUCCGGAACUGUCAAGCUAGAGUGAAGGAGAGGAAGGUAGAAUUCCCGGUGUAGCGGUGGAAUGAGUAGAGAUCGGGAGGAAUACCAGUGGCGAAGGCGGCCUUCUGGACUGACACUGACACUGAGGUGCGAAAGCGUGGGUAGCGAACAGGAUUAGAUACCCUAGUAGUC
rnacentral:rRNA from 1 species